GGCCGCUGCGCGCCGGACGGGGCCCAAGCGGGGGUCGGAGCCUCAAGGCUGCGGCGGCGACGAGCUCCGAGCGGGACACUGAACGGCCCGUAUGCGCAAGAUAAGCACGGACUGAAUCAGGUACACGCACCUGCCGGGGACGCACUGACCGAGGUGCGGACGGCGGUACCAGGACAGGUAAAGCCGCGAACACUCGGACCUAAGAACUUGACAGGUACACCCUGCCUGAUGAAGCUACGUACGGCCAGGUGCGCAUCGAGUGAAUCAGGGUGAGAACCUACUUCUUCAUAAAGAGAAUUUGGAGGGAGCUUUUUGUUCUGCGGGGACAACAUCUGGAUUUGAAUACAUCCAUGCUCAAAAGGAGAUUUCUCAUAAUGGACCCAACUGAAAGCACUCAGAGUACAAGGACCGGUGAGCUUUCAAAAGGAGACACUUCGGGAGACUCGCCAGGGGCCCUCGUAUCCCCGGCAGCGCGAGUUUUGGAGGUCAGUGGAGGGCUCUCGCAUCAUGCAUGUAACUUUCAUACUCAAAAACUUACCUUCAUCCUGCAUCCCUCACCCCCCUGCAGAAACUUGGGGCUUGAAUUCAUUUAAAAACAUUUGCGGUUUCAGAAGCCUUCUUUUUAUUAUGAAGCUGCCAAGGAGAUCUUAGAAUGAAAGGCAUUUUUAGAGAUGAGAAAGAAGGAAGCCAGGCCAAGGCUGGGCCGGCUCUCAGCCGUGGGUCUGUAAAGGUGACACGUGGGACAUGGCCACCUGCAGACCCUGCAGGCGGCUGGGCAGAGGCACCCACAGGGACCUGGGUUUGAAUCCCUGCUCUGCCAGUCAUUUCCACAGCGAUCUUGGGGGAAGUUGUGUAACCUCUGGGCCCUGCGACGCCCUUUCCUGGAGCCUGGAGCUGGAACGAAGCCCCUUGGAGCCCUGACAUCAGAGGUGACGUUAGUCUUCGCAGGCAAUGACUCGGCGGAAUGUGAUGCCACUCCCUAACCCGUGUCCGGACUGGCAGAGUGUGUGCCGCCUCCCACCAGGUGGUCUGGCUGCUUUGAUGGAUCUCCUAACUUCUCUGCACCCCAGAGCCCUCAGUGCUGGCCAGACCUUCACUCACUCCUGGGUGACAACCCCGUUCUCAGAUAGUGGGUCCCACAGGCUGGCCUGUGGCGCCCCCUGCUGGUGACUGCAGGGAGAAGGAUGCCCUAAGCCAAAGGAAGUCCUUCCUGGGGUCUAAUCUCUACCUUUUGCAUGAUGAGGCAGCUGAGGUGGCUCGCUUUCUCCUCCACCCCAGAAAAUAAAGUCAUAUGGAGUCCAAGCAGUUAUUUUUCUCUGCUAGGCCAGUCCAUCAUAAGCCCCAAAUGGAGGGGCCCCUGGAAUGAGCCCUAUGCAGGCCUUCUAUGGACAAGGGCCCUUCAGGGAGUAGGGCUGUGGUGAGGAUGGGGUGCAUGUGUGUGGGCUCUCACCUGGGUGUGGGAAGAUCAGAGGGACCCCACAGGUCAGUGUUUGCAGAUGAAAAAAUGAAGGUAGGAGCUGGGCACGGUGGCUCACGUCUGUAAUCCCAGCACUUUGGGAGGCCAAGGCAGGUGGAUCACGAGGUCAGGAGAUCGAGACCAUCCUGGCUAACAUGGUGAAACCCCG
rnacentral:lncRNA from 1 species